UGAGCUAAUGGCAAAAGGGUAUGUGCAUGAGAGCUUGAGUCCUUGUGCAGUUCCAAAGAAGGAUGGCACGUGGAGAAUGUGUGUAGACUGCUGUGCAAUUAAUAAAAUAACGGUAAAGUAUCGUCAUCCUAUCCUAGGUUAGAUGAUAUGCUUGAUGAGCUGCAUGGUGCAUGUAUUUUUACUAAGAUAGAUUCGCAAAGUGGGUACUAUCAAAUAUGCAUGAAAACUAGGGAUGAAUGGGCAACUGCUUUCAAGAACAAAUAUGGUCUAUAUGACUGUUAGUUAUGCUGUUUGGGUUAACAAAUGCACUUAGUACAUUCAUGAGAUUAAUGAACCAUGUAUUGCGUGAACUUCUUGUGCAGAUCUUGGUGGUAGUACCAAAUAUUCAAAUGAGAACUUUGAAGGCCAAAGAGGGGAAAGGUUCCAUGUGAACGGCACUUGCACUUGGGUUAGUCGAUCCUAAGAGACGGGGGAAGCCCAUCCGAUAGGGCGUCCGCGCGCGAACUUUGAGAGGGAAUCAGGUUAAAAUUCCCAAACCAGGAAGUGGCGGCUGACGACAACGUUAAGGAGUCCGGAGACGUCGGCGGGGGCCUCGGGAAGAGUUAUCUUUUCUGUUUAACAGCCCGCCCACCCUAGAAACGACUCAGUUGGAGGUAAGGUCCAGCGGCUGGAAGAGCAUUGCACGUCGCGUGGUGUCUGGUGCGCCCCCGGCGGCCCAUGAAAAUCCGGAGGACCGAGUGCCAUCCACGCCCUGUCGUACUCAUAACCACAUCAGGUCUCCAAAUGUGAAUAGCCUCUGGUCACUAGAACAAUGUAGGCAAGGGAAGUCGGUAAAAUGGAUCCGUAACCUCGGGAAAAGGUUUGGCUCUGAGGGCUGGGCACGGGGGUCCCAGUCCUGAACCCGUCGAUUGUCGGCGGACUGCUCGAGGUACUCCCACAGCGAGAGCGGGUCGCCGCGUGUCGGCCGGGGGACAGACUGGGAACAGCCUCUUCGAGGACCUUCCCCGGGCGUCGAACAGUCGACUCAGAACUGGUACGAACAAGGGGAAUCUGAUUGUUUAAUUAAAAUAAAGCAUUGCGAUGGUCCCUGCGGAUGCUCGCGCAAUGUGAUUUCUGCCCAGUGCACUGAAUGUCAAAGUGAAGAAAUUCAACCAAGCGCGGGUAAAUAGCGGGAGUAACUAUGACUCUCUUAAGGUAGCCAAAUGCCUCGUCAUCUAAUUAGUGACGCGCAUGAAUGGAUUAACGAGAUUCCCACUCUCCUUGUCUGCUAUCCAGCGAAACCACAGCCAAGGGAACGGGCUUGGCGGAAUCAGUGGGGAAAGAAGACCCUAUUGAGCUUGACUCUAGUCUGACUUUAUGAAAUGACUUGAGAGGUGUAGGAUAAGUGAGAGCCUUAACCAGCGAUGGUGAAAUACCACUACUUUUAACGUUAUUUUACUUAUUCCGUGAAUUGGAGGUGGGGCUAAGCCCCUCUUUUUGGACCCAAGGUCGCUUCGGCGACCGAUCCAGGCGGAAGACAUUGUCAUGUGAGGAGUUUGGCUGGGGCGACACAUCUGUUAAAAGAUAACGCAGGUGUCCUAAGAUAAGCUCAACGAGAAUAGAAAUCUC
rnacentral:ncRNA from 1 species